CAAUAUCUCUCUCUUUCUAUAUACGUUAUUUCUUUUACGAACUUGAAUUGAAAACUAAUUAUAGUUACAAGAUGAUGAUGGUGAUAAAUCAGUUGCCGAUAAUAUACUCAUUUGAAUUUUAGAUCUUGAUAUUUGAAUUCACAUCUAUCGCCUAUAUAGAUCUCUUCCUCUUCUUCUCCUGCUAUGUCUCUUAUACUAUUUUCUCUCCUUCUUUAAGAUGUUUAGGUUUUUUGUUUGAUGAAAUGAAAUACUUAUAUGAUUGUGAGAUUUUUCAGAUGAUAAUGAUUUACAUUGUGAAGAUGCUUUGGAUGCUUCGAUGUUGAUGGAUGACCACCGCCAUCGUUUUACAGAAAUAUUGGUUGUGAUCAAGGUGUUCGUAGAAAUGCCCCACUAAAUUCAGAUAUAUAGCCAUCUUCUUUGUGUGAGAAAAGAUAAGGAGUUGUGCCUGUAUUUUGUGAUGAUUAGUGCUGCCAUGAAAGCUGUUGCUGGUGUAAAAAUGGGUUUAAUGAGAACAACCAUGACGAUGUAAUAUUUUGGUCAUGAUAUUGUUUUGGCGAAAGAGAAAACUCUACCUCAUCUUCUAUCUUGCGGGAGAAGCAGGAUGUUAUAGAUAAGCUUAGUGGAAUCUUGGGACAUGUUAAUCUUGCACAACAUCUGUGGGAAUCGGAUCAAGGCCUCUGCUACUUACUAUUAAGAGGCUUUUUUUUUUUUUGGACAACAUUUGAACACUGCAAAAGCGUAUCCUUAAUAUAGUUUUGCUAGCAUUUUCUGAUACAGGAGCUACCUUCAGUCAUGCUGUUGUUGAUUGCUUAGCUUCCUGGGGCUUGGAACACAAGUUUUUUACUCUUACUCUUGGUGCUUCAUAGCUGUACGUAGAGAUCUCAGAAGUCUGCUCUUAGUUAUGAACCCACAAGUUCUCACUGAUCAACUAAUACUUGGGAACUGUUAUGCCCGCAUGUUGAGCUGUCUAAUAUGUGAAUGUUUCCUUAAUGUAAUUGUAUAUUUCAUUUACUUCACUAGAUCUUUGAAUAUUGUAGCUUAAUAAUCUUUCUUUUUUCAACUGGCCUAGAUCUAAGAUGCAAUCAUCUUUCAAGAUAUACAAAAGAGUUUUUUGAAUUUA